rnacentral:misc_RNA from 1 species
AACGUGCUGGAAAAGCUCUGCAGUAAGAAAUUCCCAAUCUAACAAAUUUAUUUUUGUAUAUUUCUCUAGUAAGUGGCACAUUAUGUGCGUGUAAUUUCUAUUUUUGGAAUUCUUCUGGUUGAAUAUCUUACAUUUUUAGAGUUCUUUGAUUUAGCGGGUUAAAGGAGACAAAUUAUUCCACAUCAAAGCAGAUAUAAACAUUUUUUAAAAUGGCAAAGCUCCGUGAAAAUAAGUUUGAUGUCAAAAAAGUUCUUUGAACUAAAAUCUGAAGCUAGGGCCCUUAAAUCUUAUGUGGAUUGUAUUAUUCAAUCCUAAGAUAGUCAUUUCAAACCAUUUCCUAUUUCCUUUUUAUCAGAUUUUCAUUCAUUUUGGUCUCAAAUUUCGUCAUGAACAUGAACUUGAUGUUUCUUUCUUCUUUGGUGUCUGGGAAUUGGAAGGAUUAUAUUAACAUUGUACUGUAUGAAAGUGUUGAAUACUUUUUGUUGAUUUAGAUAAUGUUUACUUUUCUAAAUGUUCAUAAAACUAAUAUUUUAGUGUCUGGUUUACGAAUGAGAAUCAUGCAAUAUAGUU